CAGAAACUCACAGCAAAUUUCUCGAUUACCCGCACGCCUCGACCUUGAUAAGACGAGAUUUCCAGAUUACUGACCUUUACACGACUGCGGGCAGCCUGUGAGGAAAUAUUUAAGAUUGAUAUCACCAGCGAACAGGGUAAUAAGCAAAAUUACAGUGAAUCCGGUGAGCAGCCCAGCAUUUUGGAUCAGGAAGAACACAAUCUUUCCUCGAUAACCUUUGCUCGUGAGGGAACUCUUCACAGAAGAUGGCAAUAGAGGUGCUGAAGCCAGUGAGAAGAGAGAGAGUGAAGGAUGCUCCGAUGGCCAGACCGUCGAUGAAGUUAUGCACAGCGUCACUGACAGUGAUCAUCCAUGCCACAGUCUUUA